rnacentral:rRNA from 1 species
UACGGGGGGUGCAAGCGUUGUUCGGGAUUACUGGGCGUAAAGGGCGCGUAGGCGGAUGGACAAGUCACGUGUGAAAGCCCACGGCUCAACCGUGGAAUUGGGGUUGAUACUGUCUGACUUGAGUCCGGAAGAGUAGGGUGGAAUUGCCAGUGUAGCGGUGAAAUGCGUAGAUAUUGGGAGGAACACCGGUGGCGAAGGCGGCUCACUGGACCGGGACUGACGCUGAGUCGCCAAAGCUUGGGGAGCAAACGGG